GUCGAACGAUGAAGCUGGAGCUUGCUCCGGUGGAUUAGUGGCGAACGGGUGAGUAACACGUGAGCAAUCUGCCCUUGACUCUGGGAUAACUGCGGGAAACUGUAGCUAAUACCGGAUAUCGCGCUUGGAGGCAUCUCCAGGCGCCGAAAGAAUUUCGGUCAAGGAUGAGCUCGCGGCCUAUCAGCUAGUUGGUGAGGUAAUGGCUCACCAAGGCGACGACGGGUAGCCGGCCUGAGAGGGUGACCGGCCACACUGGGACUGAGACACGGCCCAGACUCCUACGGGAGGCAGCAGUGGGGAAUAUUGCACAAUGGGCGAAAGCCUGAUGCAGCAACGCCGCGUGAGGGAUGAAGGCCUUCGGGUUGUAAACCUCUUUUAGCAGGGAAGAAGCGAAAGUGACGGUACCUGCAGAAAAAGCACCGGCUAACUACGUGCCAGCAGCCGCGGUAAUACGUAGGGUGCAAGCGUUGUCCGGAAUUAUUGGGCGUAAAGAGCUCGUAGGCGGUUUGUCGCGUCUGCUGUGAAAAUCCGAGGCUCAACCUCGGACCUGCAGUGGGUACGGGCAAACUAGAGUGCGGUAGGGGAGAUGGGAAUUCCUGGUGUAGCGGUGGAAUGCGCAGAUAUCAGGAGGAACACCAAUGGCGAAGGCACAUCUCUGGGCCGUAACUGACGCUGAGGAGCGAAAGCGUGGGGAGCGAACAGGAUUAGAUACCCUGGUAGUCCACGCCGUAAACGGUGGGUGCUAGUUGUGGGUUCCAUUCCACGGAAUCCGUGACGAAGUUAACACAUUAAGCACCCCGCCUGGGGAGUACGGUCGCAAGACUAAAACUCAAAGGAAUUGACGGGGGCCCGCACAAGCGGCGGAGCAUGCGGAUUAAUUCGAUGCAACGCGAAGAACCUUACCAAGGCUUGACAUAUACAGGAAAAGCGUAGAAAUACGCUCCCCGCAAGGUCUGUAUACAGGUGGUGCAUGGUUGUC
rnacentral:rRNA from 1 species